CAGUAGAGUAUCAGCCUGGAUUAUGAACUCAAGUCUCUGGACUCAAGAGUGGGCCCACAACCUUUUGACUCAAGAGGAGUCUACAAUUGCACUGUGAGUAUUCGAGCCUGGAUUUUCAAAGUAGGCAAUCUGAACUUUGGAAGCCUCUGAAGCAGUACUUUAAGCUAAUAAUAGACAACAACCUAUUAAAAUGCUUUGAAUAGUGAAAGAGAACAGCAGCAAGAUGACAGGAUAACACAUUUUGACACCAGAAUUAUUUUUCAUCUCUGAAACAUGAAUCACUGAAUCACCAAGAGAUCAACUGUCAGCUUCUGCUACAUUAAGGAUGUAUGAAAAGCCAUUUAGCCCAAUCUAACUCUUGUUGAUUUUCUGAGUUUGGAUUCAUUGGAUAAUCUAAUGAUAAUGACUGAUGUCAGCCUUGGCUCAGUUGUAACAUUCCCACCCCUGAGUAAGAAGAUGGCGGGCUCAAGCUCCAAUUGAAAGACUCAAGCAAUGUAUAGCAUAAUGUAAGCUGACACUCACAGUGCAGUGCUGAGGGAGUGCUGCACUGUCAGAGGUGCCGUCUUUUGGGUGAGACAUAAGUCUGCCCUCUUGAGGCAAUGUAAAAGAUACCAUGGCAAAAUACUGUAGAUGCUGGAAAUCUCAAAUAAAAACAGGAGAUGCUGGAA